rnacentral:lncRNA from 1 species
CCUAGGACAUCCGUGCAGAGUCUGGGGAGGUUGGGGUGGGAGAGUCUGUACAGUUUGGUGUUGGGUGUUCUAGUUGGCCUGGGAUGGAAAUGUAGUACCCGGAUGUCUUUGUAGAGGACUCAGAAGGAAGUAGAGGAGGGGUCUUAAGUGGGGCUAUAUGCCAAGAAAGUGGGUCGGUGGGGCUGAGACUGUCGGCUGAGGGUUAGGGUAGUGCUGGUAGGGUCUGGAAGCCGGGGAGUUGUCGGUGUGGGGUCGGAAAGCUGGAGGGGGUGUGAGAGCGAGGGUGUCAGUGGAAGGGUCUAUGUUAUCAAGGCAGUGUCCAGGAUGGAGGUCAGGGCAGAAUCCAGGAGUGGGUGAGAGGACAGUCCUUGGCGCACUCGGGACAUCUGGCUGGGCGGAGUCAGAUCGGCUUUAAUAGAGGGAGCCUGAGGAGGC